rnacentral:rRNA from 1 species
GAUGAACGCUGGCGGCGUGCCUAAUACAUGCAAGUCGAGCGAACGUACGAGAAUCUUUCUUCUCUGAUGUUAGCGGCGGACGGGUGAGUAACACGUGGAUAACCUACCUAUAAGACCGGGAUAAUUUCGGGAAACCGUAGCUAAUACCGGAUAAUAUUUUGAACCUCAUGUGUCAAAAGUGAAAGACGGUCUUGCUGUCGCUUAUAGAUGGAUCCGCGCUGCAUUAGCUAGUUGGUAAGGUAACGGCUUACCAAGGCAACGAUGCAUAGCCGACCUGAGAGGGUGAUCGGCCACACUGGAACUGAGACACGGUCAAGACUCCUACGGGAGGCAGCAGUAGGGAAUAUUCCGGAAUGGGGGAAAGAAUGACGGAGAAACGCCGAGUGAGUGAUGAAGGUAUUCGGAUCGUAAAACUAUGUUAUUAGGGAAGAACAUAUGUGUAAGUAACUGUGAACAUAUUGACGGUACCUAAUCAGAAAGCCACGGCUAACUACGUG